rnacentral:rRNA from 1 species
GACGGAGGAUGCAAGUGUUAUCCGGAAUCACUGGGCGUAAAGCGUCUGUAGGUGGUUCGAAAAGUCCACUGUUAAAAAAUUGAGGCUUAACUUCAAAGAUGCCGUGGAAACUUUCAAACUAGAGUAUGGUAGGGGUGGAGGGGAAUUUCCAGUGGAGCGGUGAAAUGCGUAGAUAUUGGAAAGACCACCGAUGGCGAAGGCACUCUACUGGGCCAUUACUGACACUGAGAGACGAAAGCUAGGGGAGCAAAUGGG